GGGCCUUUUGUUCAGCCCUGACAAUAGAAUUGGGUGGAGGGGGCUGGGAAGGCAAGUAGCUGGGUUAGAGAUGCAUCCGUGGGGUGGGGGUAUGGGGAAGCUUGUGUUCAGCCACUGGGUACAUGAAAGCAACUGUGUGUGUGUGUGUGUGUGUGUGUGUGUGUGUGUGUGUGUGUGUGUGUGUGUCGGGGGAGGGUAUAAGGGAGCCCAGGGACACUGGGGCACCAGCUCGUUAACACGUGUGUAUGAAUGCCGGCUGUGCGCUUGGCAAAUCCUUAAUUACACAGGGAGAACUUCCUGAACCGGGAACUCAGUAUCGGUCCCUGAAAGGUUGGGUAAUGGCUUCUUCUUGCAUCUGGAAUCCAAGGGGACCAAUCUCUCUGGCUCCCCUGGGCUCUCAGAUUCUUCUAGAUGUCUUUGUCUUCUAAAAUUCUGGGAUCCCAAGGGAAGACACAUAGUUAAGGACACUCAGAAAUGCAUACCUUUCAACCCUACUAAUCAUCCUAAAACCUGUGCUUUCAACAUAUCACGUCCUUGAUCUGUAACCCUCAGGGGCACCCACGAUCUCCAAUGACUGGGAGUGAUGGCAUUUAAGUCUUUCCACCAUGCAGAAGUUUCUUCCCUCAUUCCCCAUGAAUUCUCUCCUGUAGCCAGCCUGGCCCCUCAUAACCCCUUGGAUAUACUGUAUCUUGAAUUCUCCAGCCUUUCUGCAGUUGCCUUCCUGGGACAUUCAUUCCCAUGUUCACAAUCUAGCCAAUUGUAUCCCUUCUCUAUUCAGUUCUAGCAUCAGUCAGUCAAUCAACAAGCAUUUAUUGAAAGUCCACUAUGUACAAGACAUGUUCUAGGCCCUGGUAAUACAUCAGAGACUGAGACAAAUACCUGUUCUUAAGGAUUUUAUAUUUUAAUGGGAGAAACAGAGUAGACUCAUGGCUCACGCCUAUAAUCCCAGGACUUUGGGAGGCCAAGGCAAGAGGAUCACUUGAGGCCAGGAGCUCAAAACCAGCCUGGGCAGCAAGUGUCUUCUUUUGCCUCUGCAAAAGAAAAUUAAAAAUAACAAAAAAAGGAAGCUAAACUAGAGUAUUGUGGUAGAGGGGUGUGUGUGUGUGCAUGUGGGUGCAUCCGUGUGUGUGGUAGGUUGAUGGGUGCUGUUUUAUUUAGCCAGGGAAGGUCUCUUUGAGGAGGUGGCAUUCGAGACCUUCUGGGUGGGAAGGAGGCAGCCAUGUGGUGAUCUGGGGAAGAGUGCUGCAAGCAGAAAGGCAAGUAAAAACAAAAGCCCUGAGGCAGAAAUGUGCUCCUUAUGCUUAAGAAACACCGUGAAGGCCAACGUGGUUGGAGCAAUGUGAGCAAGAAGAAUAGAGGGGCCUUGGGAACAUAGGUAGCUGAGUCCUCAUGGAUCAAGGCACCUUGACUUUAAGUGUCUGUUACACCAAAGGUUAUGGCAAACUGUGUCUGCAGCCCACAGUAAAAUCCAGUUUAAGGCUCUCCACACUGGAGUGCAGCUAUCCAGUUUUUCAGCCAUUUCCAAAAGGAAUUAUAUUGAUGUGUUAGUUGACAAGCCUACAAUGAAAAGAUAGAUGGGAAAAGAAGACCAUCAGACAGGUGGCUGGAUAUGUGGAGACAAGCACGAAGAAGUCCAGGCUCUGUCACGACGUUGCUGACUGGCUUCUGUCACAUUUUCAGGCAUCUUUUAGCUAGAGGUGCGCGUGUGACACCACAUGGACUGUGAGAAAUAGUCAAGUUCAGCCUAGUGACGCUUCUGGCAAAGCUUGUUUUCCUGAUUUUUAAAAAAGGAGUUGGGGGAGUGCCAUGCCUUUUGUCCUUCCUCCCUCCUCCUGCCUGGAACAUGGAUGUGAGACCAGGAAGUACAGCAGCCAUCUUGUGACCAUGAGGACUAAAGGCCUGCGCUGAGGAUGGUACAGUAAAAUGAAAGAAGCAGCCUGGAUGCCUGAUGAGCAGCUGUGCCAGCCCCAGGGUCAUGCAAAUCAGUGUCAAUCAUUGUGGUUCUGGUUUUCUCCUAUUUGUAGCCAAAUAAAUUCCUUACUGAUAUAGGCAGGGUCCUUGUUGGUUCCAAAAAAAAGUGGAUUCACAGAAAUAUAACUGAGAGAACCAUGAAUUUCUAAAGAAGUCCUAGAAAUAGAUCAGUCAGAGAAGUUGUCCAUUUCAGGCAGGGGUUUCUACUGUAAGUUGCUUGGAUGGAAAAUAAAUCAGUGUUAAGGAGGUGAGAAUGCCAUCACUUGAAUUGUAUGACUAUAUCUUAUUAAAUCUCAGAUGCCAUCAGUUGUAAGGUAUAGCAUUAUUUUACAUAUCACUAUGAGAGAAGAAAAUGCUCUCAAGACAUAUCACUGAUUGUAAGAUGCAUCCACCUUGAUUUCAGAGAUUUUAAAAUGUGAAAAAAGGGAGGGACAUCUUAGGAUCAGUGAAAUAUGGCACAUAUUUAUUUGCUUCCUUGAUUCCUGCCUGCUGUGCUCAUUAGACCAGAGACACUGUCUGCCAUGCUCUCUGCCAAGUCCUCCAUACCUAGAAUUGGGCCUGGCAUAGAGUGGGGUCUAUAAAUAUUGGUUAAUUAAUAAGUUAACUAAUAAGUUCUAGUCCUUGCUUUUCCAAUAACUUCCCAUGCUACCCUGGCUGGAGAAAGCAUUUCCCUUUCUCUGUACCUCAUUUCUCCAUAAUCUAGUUCAACUGACCCUCACCAGAACUGAAGAAACAAAAAGCCCCAAAUACAUGCAAAGCGGACCUACACUCUGCAUCACCAUGGUGACGCCUCCCAGGGUCCCAGAGGGCAGGGAGGCCUCAUCUUCCACCAUCCCUAGAAAUCUCUCUUUCCCCAGAGCCCAACUCCUUCUAAAGCUCUGUGGUUAACCCUUUCCAGGCAAGCCUUUUCCAACACUCUGUUAGGGUUACUAAAUGUGCUCCCUACAAAUGGACUAGGGCCAAGGAAUUAUGCAAGAUCCUUCAAGCAAAGAGAUGGUAUUUUGUAACUUCCCUGAGUUUCUCCAGGAAGAUGAAAUGCACAACAUAUUUUAGAAUAAUAUCAACCUACAUAUGUCAGAGAGGUAGUCUUGUCUGACCAAAGCCCUUGAGCUGGUGAGGGGCGGGGUUCCAGGUGCCCCUUCUGCUGCACUAGCAUUGUAUUCAGAAGUAAUAAAGAUGAUGGCUUUCAUGUAAUGAGUGACGAACCCUUUGCAUAUAUUCCUUCAUUGAGUCUUCAACAGAAACUUAUGGGGUAGGAAGUAUCUUUAUCCCCAUUUUACAAGUGGGGAAACUGAGGCAUAUAGCUGUUAAGUAGGUGGCAGAGCCUGGCCUCGAAGUCAGGUGGGGUAGCACCAGAGUUUAUGCUCUUAACCACUAUGCUCUA
rnacentral:lncRNA from 10 species